rnacentral:tRNA from 1 species
GCCGAAACGCUGCGUAACACGGCGACUGGACUUAGGAUCCAGUGGGGAAACCCGUCCGAGUUCGAGUCCCGGCUUUCGCA